AGUAGAAUGGCUGGAUCAAAUGGUAAGUUUAACUUUUUAAGAAACUGCCAAACUGCUUUCCAAAGUGCUUGCACCAUUUAACCUUCCCAUCAGCAGU
rnacentral:pre_miRNA from 3 species